AAGGCUCGUCCUCCCAGGGUUAGUCGGGACCUAAGCUGAGGCCGAACGGCGUAGGCGAUGGUCAACAGGUUGAUAUUCCUGUACCAGUUUCUUUUGUUUGACCGAUGGAGGGACGCAGCAGGCUAAGAUAUGCCCACUAAUGGAUGUGGGUGCAAAUAAUAAGUCUGGCGAUGAGUCAAAUGCUUAUCGCUAAGGACAAGUUAUGACGCGGAGGGAAGUACAGUACCGAAGUAUCUGACGUCACACUGCCAAGAAAAGCUUCUAGGGAGAAAGUAACUGCCCGUACCGCAAACCGACACAGGUAGUCGAGAUGAGAAUUCUAAGGUGAGCGAGCGAACUCUCGUUAAGGAACUCGGCAAAAUGACCCCGUAACUUAGGGAGAAGGGGUGCUAACGCAAGUUAGCCGCAGUGA
rnacentral:rRNA from 1 species